AUUGGGAGUGACCUGGUAAAACAGGCAGUUUUCCAAUUGAGGUCAUCUUUCAGUGAAGUCAUCCAUGGAGCAGAAGACAAAUGAGUGCUCCACCAGCACCUCUCCUCAGAAACGCAUGAAGAACCGCUCCAAAUCUAUAGAGGAGACGCAACAGUCAAAGAGGGCCUUUUCUUCACAGAAAUCCCUCCCAGGAAGACCAGAGCUGGACAGAGUGAAGGAGUGCCUUGAGGGUUCAGAGACGCCCUCGUCCUCCACUGAAGAAUUAAAGGGAUGAACGAAUAGCCAAGUAAACUUGUCGUCAGACAAAUCUACAUAGGAAUACAUGGAAAACAAGGCAAACGAAAUUGUAAGGAAAAGUGGGCAAUGUGAGCAUGUUAAAUGUACUGUAAGCUGCCAUACACAUAAACAUUAAGAUGAUGAUCAUGCAUGUAACUCAAGUUUUUAUCCUGUUCUGUUGUAUUUGUAAGCACUGCAAAAUGUGAAUUGACGAAAGGUGAUGUUAUUGGGUUUAUUCAACAGUUUGCCCGAGAGGUCAUGAAACUGCUUUGACUUUUCUUUUUGAACGUGGUCUGGUCAUCUUCCAGGAAAAAUGAAUACCUUUUUGAGUGCAUCUUGUAGCAACAAACAAAAACAUCACCCACUAUAAUUCGUCUGCAUGUCCUGGCAUCCUACCAGCAGAACGUGUAAUUUCGGAACGCCAAUCUAUCAAAUUGUGGGUUGAGAGUGUUGGUUCUCUUGUCUCUUCUGCACUAAUUUUGUAACGGUACACUCACUUAAUUUGAUACGAAACAUGACAAACUACUCUCGGUAUCAUGCAGUGCAUAUUUACAAUACUGUCAAUUAUGACCACUCUGUGCUGUUCAAACCUGUACAUUUUUUUCCCCCCAAUUCAGCUCUUAUGGAUCUCAUUGUGGUAGGUGACUGUUUUGUCACUGGAAUCUAGCCAGGAUAUGUGGAUAAUGUUUGUAAUGUUCAUUUUUAAUAGUUUAUCUGUUUAUUGGAUACAAUCUCGUCAGCCCAUGGUUAAAUUAAAAACGAUGAUGCGCACCGAGAAA